UAGAGCUUCAGGCAGGUUGUAGCAAUGAAAUCACCUUCAGAGAAGGUGUUAAACAUACAGCGAUAGCACCCUUCAUCCUCCUCCAUCACCCUCCUGAUAACUAUGGAGGUGUUCUGCAGUCCAGCAUCUUUAAACGCCAGCUUACUUUGAAAACCAGCAUUCACUCUUUCACCAAAUCGUUCACUGUAAGUAGCCAUGUUCUUCUCCCCCUCAGGUAAAAUCUUCUGCCAUGUGACUUGCAGAACAUCUCUAGAUUGCAUCAGGUGACAGUUUAAGCAGGCUUCGUCUCCUACAGCUGCAUCCACAGUGUGCUGGGUUUCUAUCAGAGCUGUUAGACC